CUGGCGGCGUGCCUAAUACAUGCAAGUCGAGCGGACAGAUGGGAGCUUGCUCCCUGAUGUUAGCGGCGGACGGGUGAGUAACACGUGGGUAACCUGCCUGUAAGACUGGGAUAACUCCGGGAAACCGGGGCUAAUACCGGAUGCUUGUUUGAACCGCAUGGUUCAAACAUAAAAGGUGGCUUCGGCUACCACUUACAGAUGGACCCGCGGCGCAUUAGCUAGUUGGUGAGGUAACGGCUCACCAAGGCAACGAUGCGUAGCCGACCUGAGAGGGUGAUCGGCCACACUGGGACUGAGACACGGCCCAGACUCCUACGGGAGGCAGCAGUAGGGAAUCUUCCGCAAUGGACGAAAGUCUGACGGAGCAACGCCGCGUGAGUGAUGAAGGUUUUCGGAUCGUAAAGCUCUGUUGUUAGGGAAGAACAAGUACCGUUCGAAUAGGGCGGUACCUUGACGGUACCUAACCAGAAAGCCACGGCUAACUACGUGCCAGCAGCCGCGGUAAUACGUAGGUGGCAAGCGUUGUCCGGAAUUAUUGGGCGUAAAGGGCUCGCAGGCGGUUUCUUAAGUCUGAUGUGAAAGCCCCCGGCUCAACCGGGGAGGGUCAUUGGAAACUGGGGAACUUGAGUGCAGAAGAGGAGAGUGGAAUUCCACGUGUAGCGGUGAAAUGCGUAGAGAUGUGGAGGAACACCAGUGGCGAAGGCGACUCUCUGGUCUGUAACUGACGCUGAGGAGCGAAAGCGUGGGGAGCGAACAGGAUUAGAUACCCUGGUAGUCCACGCCGUAAACGAUGAGUGCUAAGUGUUAGGGGGUUUCCGCCCCUUAGUGCUGCAGCUAACGCAUUAAGCACUCCGCCUGGGGAGUACGGUCGCAAGACUGAAACUCAAAGGAAUUGACGGGGGCCCGCACAAGCGGUGGAGCAUGUGGUUUAAUUCGAAGCAACGCGAAGAACCUUACCAGGUCUUGACAUCCUCUGACAAUCCUAGAGAUAGGACGUCCCCUUCGGGGGCAGAGUGACAGGUGGUGCAUGGUUGUCGUCAGCUCGUGUCGUGAGAUGUUGGGUUAAGUCCCGCAACGAGCGCAACCCUUGAUCUUAGUUGCCAGCAUUCAGUUGGGCACUCUAAGGUGACUGCCGGUGACAAACCGGAGGAAGGUGGGGAUGACGUCAAAUCAUCAUGCCCCUUAUGACCUGGGCUACACACGUGCUACAAUGGACAGAACAAAGGGCAGCGAAACCGCGAGGUUAAGCCAAUCCCACAAAUCUGUUCUCAGUUCGGAUCGCAGUCUGCAACUCGACUGCGUGAAGCUGGAAUCGCUAGUAAUCGCGG
rnacentral:rRNA from 1 species